rnacentral:rRNA from 1 species
UACGUAGGGUGCGAGCGUUGUCCGGAAUUAUUGGGCGUAAAGAGCGUGUAGGCGGCCAGACAGGUCAGCUGUGAAAACUCGAGGCUCAACCUCGAGACGUCGGUUGAAACCGUUUGGCUAGAGUCCGGAAGAGGAGAGUGGAAUUCCCGGUGUAGCGGUGAAAUGCGCAGAUAUCGGGAAGAACACCGGUGGCGAAGGCGGCUCUCUGGACCGAUACUGACGCUGAGGCGCGAAAGCGUGGGGAGCAAACAGGG